GUUGGAAACGACUGCUAAUACCGUAUGAGCCCUAUGGGGGAAAGAUUUAUCGCCUAGGGAUGGGCCCGCGUUGGAUUAGCUAGUUGGUGGGGUAAAGGCCUACCAAGGCGACGAUCCAUAGCUGGUCUGAGAGGAUGAUCAGCCACGCUGGGACUGAGACACGGCCCAGACUCCUACGGGAGGCAGCAGUGGGGAAUAUUGGACAAUGGGGGCAACCCUGAUCCAGCCAUGCCGCGUGAGUGAUGAAGGCCCUAGGGUUGUAAAGCUCUUUCAGCGAGGAGGAUAAUGACGUUACUCGCAGAAGAAGCCCCGGCUAACUUCGUGCCAGCAGCCGCGGUAAUACGAAGGGGGCUAGCGUUGUUCGGAAUCACUGGGCGUAAAGCGCACGUAGGCGGACUUUUAAGUCAGGGGUGAAAUCCCGGGGCUCAACCCCGGAACUGCCUUUGAUACUGGAAGUCUUGAGACCGAGAGAGGUGAGUGGAACUCCGAGUGUAGAGGUGAAAUUCGUAGAUAUUCGGAAGAACACCAGUGGCGAAGGCGGCUCACUGGCUCGGUACUGACGCUGAGGUGCGAAA
rnacentral:rRNA from 1 species